rfam:Ixodes scapularis strain Wikel colony gcontig_1108379217866, whole genome shotgun sequence.
ACAAAGGCCCUUUUUAGGGCCAAAGAAAAUUGUGUUAGUGUGCUUCG